rnacentral:rRNA from 1 species
GAGUUUGAUCCUGGCUCAGGAUGAACGCUAGCGGGAGGCCUAACACAUGCAAGCCGAGCGGUAUUGUUUCUUCGGAAAUGAGAGAGCGGCGUACGGGUGCGGAACACGUGUGCAACCUGCCUUUAUCUGGGGGAUAGCCUUUCGAAAGGAAGAUUAAUACUCCAUAAUAUAUUGAACGGCAUCGUUUGAUAUUGAAAGCUCCGGCGGAUAGAGAUGGGCACGCGCAAGAUUAGCUAGUUGGUGAGGUAACGGCUCACCAAGGCGAUGAUCUUUAGGGGGCCUGAGAGGGUGAUCCCCCACACUGGUACUGAGACACGGACCAGACUCCUACGGGAGGCAGCAGCGAGGAAUAUUGGUCAAUGGGUGCAAGCCUGAACCAGCCAUCCCGCGUGAAGGACGACUGCCCUAUGGGUUGUAAACUUCUUUUGUAUAGGGAUAAACCUACCCUCGUGAGGGUAGCUGAAGGUACUAUACGAAUAAGCACCGGCUAACUCCGUG